ACAUGGAGUUUUCCAGCUUCUCAAGCGGGACUGAACGUGCUGUCAAGACUUGGCAAGCCUCCUUAGACGCCCCUCAAGAUGGCAUAGUGACUGCAGAACUUCUUGAACAAUUAUAUACGGUGGCACAAAUUGAGGGUCU